rnacentral:rRNA from 1 species
GACCUCGUGCUAUAAGAUGAGCCUACGUCGGAUUAGCUUGUUGGUGGGGUAAUGGCCUACCAAGGCGACGAUCCGUAGCUGGUCUGAGAGGACGAUCAGCCACACUGGGACUGAGACACGGCCCAGACUCCUACGGGAGGCAGCAGUGGGGAAUAUUGGACAAUGGGGGAAACCCUGAUCCAGCAAUGCCGCGUGUGUGAAGAAGGCCUUCGGGUUGUAAAGCACUUUCGGUGGGGAAGAAAUUCUCAAGGGUAAUAUCCUUGGGCGUUGACGUUACCCACAGAAGAAGCACUGGCUAACUCUGUGCCAGCAGCCGCGGUAAUACAGAGAGUGCAAGCGUUAAUCGGAAUCACUGGGCGUAAAGCGCGCGUAGGUGGAUAUUUAAGUCGGAUGUGAAAGCCCUGGGCUUAACCUGGGAAUUGCAUCCGAUACUGGGUAUCUUGAGUAUGGUAGAGGGAAGUGGAAUUUCCGGUGUAGCGGUGAAAUGCGUAGAUAUCGGAAAGAACACCAGUGGCGAAGGCGACUUCCUGGACCAAUACUGACACUGAGGCGCGAAAGCGUGGGGAGCAAACAGGAUUAGAGACCCUGGUAGUCCACGCCGUCAACGAUGAGAACUAGCUGUUGGGAAGUUCACUUCUUAGUAGCGAAGCUAACGCGUUAAGUUCUCCGCCUGGGGAGUACGGCCGCAAGGUUAAAACUCAAAGAAAUUGACGGGGGCCCGCACAAGCGGUGGAGCAUGUGGUUUAAUUCGAUGCAACGCGGAAAACCUUACCUACCCUUGACGUCCUCGGAACUUGUCAGAGAUGAUUUGGUGCCUUCGGGAACCGAGUGACAGGUGCUGCAUGGCUGUCGUCAGCUCGUGUCGUGAGAUGUUGGGUUAAGUCCCGUAACGAGCGCAACCCUCGUCCUUAGUUGCCAGCGAGUCAAGUCGGGAACUCUAAGGAGACUGCCGGUGAUAAACCGGAGGAAGGUGGGGAUGAUGUCAAGUCAUCAUGGCCCUUACGGGUAGGGCUACACACGUGCUACAAUGGGCAGUACAAAGGGUUGCCAAGCCGCGAGGUGGAGCUAAUCCCAGAAAACUGCUCGUAGUCCGGAUUGGAGUCUGCAACUCGACUCCAUGAAGUUGGAAUCGCUAGUAAUCGCGAAUCAGCAUGUCGCGGUGAAUACGUUCUCGGGCCUUGUACA